AGAGUUUGAUCCUGGCUCAGAUUGAACGCUGGCGGCAUGCCUUACACAUGCAAGUCGAACGGUAACGCGGGGGCAACCCUGGCGACGAGUGGCGAACGGGUGAGUAAUACAUCGGAACAUAUCCAGUAGCGGGGGAUAACCUAUCGAAAGAUGGACUAAUACCGCAUACGAUCUACGGAUGAAAGCAGGGGACCGCAAGGCCUUGCACUAUUGGAGUGGCCGAUGUCGGAUUAGCUAGUUGGUGAGGUAAAGGCUUACCAAGGCGACGAUCCGUAGCUGGUCUGAGAGGACGAUCAGCCACACUGGAACUGAGACACGGUCCAGACUCCUACGGGAGGCAGCAGUGGGGAAUUUUGGACAAUGGGCGCAAGCCUGAUCCAGCCAUGCCGCGUGAGUGAAGAAGGCCUUCGGGUUGUAAAGCUCUUUCGGUGAAGACGAAACGGUUAGCGCUAAUAACGCUGACUAAUGACGGUACUCACAGAAGAAGCACCGGCUAACUACGUGCCAGCAGCCGCGGUAAUACGUAGGGUGCAGGCGUUAAUCGGAAUUACUGGGCGUAAAGCGUGCGCAGGCGGUUUGCUAAGACAGGUGUGAAAUCCCCGAGCUUAACUUGGGAAUUGCGCUUGUAACUGGCAAGCUAGAGUGUGGCAGGGGGGGGGUGGAAUUCCACGUGUAGCAGUGAAAUGCGUAGAUAUGUGGAGGAACACCGAUGGCGAAGGCAGCCCCCUGGGUUAACACUGACGCUCAUGCACGAAAGCGUGGGGAGCAAACAGGAUUAGAUACCCUGGUAGUCCACGCCCUAAACUAUGUCAACUAGUUGUCGGGGAAGAAAUUCCUUGGUAACGAAGCUAACGCGUGAAGUUGACCGCCUGGGGAGUACGGCCGCAAGGUUAAAACUCAAAGGAAUUGACGGGGACCCGCACAAGCGGUGGAUUAUGUGGAUUAAUUCGAUGCAACGCGAAAAACCUUACCUACCCUUGACAUGCUAGGAAGCCCGCAGAGAUGUGGGUGUGCCCGAAAGGGAACCUUGACACAGGUGCUGCAUGGCUGUCGUCAGCUCGUGUCGUGAGAUGUUGGGUUAAGUCCCGCAACGAGCGCAACCCUUGCCAUUAGUUGCUACAUUUAGUUGGGCACUCUAAUGGGACCGCCGGUGACAAACCGGAGGAAGGUGGGGAUGACGUCAAGUCCUCAUGGCCCUUAUGGGUAGGGCUUCACACGUAAUACAAUGGUCGGUACAGAGGGCUGCCAACCCGCAAGGGGGAGCUAAUCCCAGAAAGCCGAUCGUAGUCCGGAUCGUAGUCUGCAACUCGACUGCAUGAAGCCGGAAUCGCUAGUAAUCGCGGAUCAGCAUGUCGCGGUGAAUACGUUCCCGGGUCUUGUACACACCGCCCGUCACACCAUGGGAGUGGGUUUCACCAGAAGUAGUUAGCCUAACCGCAAGGAGGGCGAUUACCACGGUGAGAUUCAUGACUGGGGUGAAGUCGUAACAAGGUA
rnacentral:rRNA from 1 species